CGUUCAACAGAAAGAACCGGGAAAGAAACUAGAAAUUCAGAGAGCAGGAGCUUGAGGACGUCGAACCGCCUUGUUUGUGAUUGGUCCAAAGAAAAGCUAGGAGCCAAUCGGGUUAGAAUGUCGCUUCACCGCGUCAUAACUCAUUUGCAUAAAGUUGAGAAAAAUUCAUCUCCGUGUCGCUUGUCGCUCUGUCGCUUUGUCGCUUGUCGCCUCUCGCGUGUCGCGGCGACAAAUCGCGCCCUGCCAUAGGAAAUGAAUGGUCGCCUGUCGCUUUCCAGUGUGAACGCAGGGUUAACGCGGCACCUGAUUGGCAAACAGAAAUUUCACGUCUUUCUUCAGAGAAGACUCUGUUGAUUCUGCGCAUGUGCACUAGUAAACUGUAAACCGAGCCAAACCUUUAAAUAAAGCGUUAAACUCGAUAUUUUCAGCACCUCUUUGACAAAAAUGAAAAGGAUUACUGUAAAAUGGACUGAUGGAUUUACUUAUUUGGAGCGAUUUUGAAGCAGCAGGGAGAGAUGGUGAAUUUCUGAAAUCUCGUGCUGCUGAGCUGCAUUGCAUCCAACCAUUCCGAAGCCCCUCGCUGCAGCUGGAGGCGCGUAACCAACUUUCUCACUGGCGCAGUUCUGGAGUUUGACGUGUCGUGCAGGUCACGCAUCAAAUACAAACCAAUCGAAGGUCUGAAUGGAUAUCUUCACAGGGAACAGUGCCAUGGAGAUAAUAUCAAGCCAAACCUAUCCUCCUGCGUGUGAGAAGGGAUAAUCUUUUUUUAUUAUUGUACCGUUCACGAGGUCAUUUCGAGACUAAUUUGUUCAUUAUUUCUCUCACACUACUGUCCCUACUGAAUGCAGCAGGAUUGGGCCCUAAAUAUUUCCUUUGUGAUAAAUGAUGAGAAGAGCAGAAUUCUGAAUUUCUUAAUGUCAAACAUGAAAUUAAAUUCACCUCGGACCCACACUGCUAUUCCUCUCUGAUGUGCUUUUGGUAAGAUGGAAAUAAUUUGAAUCCUAAAAUGUGGUUGCACAGUCAUGCCCUAACAACCAAAUUUCCCCUUAAACAUCCAGCCUAAUUUACAUACACUUUCCUCUACCCAGACACAUCAUCUGAAAAGAAGAAGUAUGCCUAAAAAAGAAACACUGCAUCAACGUUUUACUUCAGCUAUGAAUGCUUCAAAAACAAGCAUAAUUUUGAUUCUAUUUGAGUAACAUAUACCCAACGAAAAACACUACUAAAUGAGACUGACUGUUUUUAUCAUGUAUUUAUUCUACAUUCAGCUAACUUCACAGUAAAACCUGGAAAGUUUAAAUAUCUACUUUUUUCUAUUUUUACUAAUUCAGGUUUGAAGGGUGUUCAGUGUUGGAGUCAUUUGAGUUGAACAUUUCAGUGCUAACCCAAAUAAACAAAUUCAAAAUGAUUUAAUUAGGCUAUUUUCUAAUUAAUUUCUGUCUGGAGACAGCACUAUCCAGUUAUCCAAUUAUUGAUUAAAAAUACAAACUAUAGAAUCUACUCAAUACACCUGAAUACUUGAAUUCAAAUUUGCACUCACUUUGUUUGUGUAGAGUAAAUUAAACAGCUGAGACAAAAAAUAAAGUAAAUUUCACAUUACACAAACUGCAAUUUUCCUAUUGGCUCCUGGCAUUAUUUAUUUACAUAAAAGGCAAGUCUCCCCCAACCAUAGCUUGCCCGCCAGGGCUGACUUUCCUUGGUAAUUUAGUUAUAUCUCUAUAUAAUGGUUAUUUGUAUGUUGUACUAUGUUGUAGGUCAUGUGAGCAAGUUACUAUUUUCAGUAUCGUAUGACAAAGUGCUGGCAAAGCAGUAAGACUGCUGGAUUAAAUCUCUCGUACAAUGGAGAUGUUUAUGCAGUUUAAAGGACCAAAAACACAAGCCAACCUUCCCUGAAUAAACAAUUGUUAGUCAUAUUGAUAGAGUAAUCUUAUUCUAUUAUAGUGUUGAGUUUAGUAGAAAUCAACACUUGACUUUUACUGUAUAUGCUGUUCAACUUCUGGAAGUAGUAGUAGUAGAAAAAGUGUUAGGGUUAGAUGUGCAUAAUUAGUUCAGUUGUAGAACUGAGUACACUGGAACUCGCUCUUACAGUACACACAAGAGUCCAGGUGAUUAAACACAGACUGUAUGAAAGAUUCCAUAAUAAAUAAAGGCAGUUUUAUUUAGUAAUGCUGCACUGACUAGAAACCAUUCGUCAAGUAAAUGUAGUUGAAAGUAGGGCAAAAGGUUAAAUGUUGUUUUUGUGAAAUUAAUACAAUUUUACAAAAUAAAAAAAAAGUUAAAAAAUAAAAUAAAAUACAGACCCCACGUCUAAUAUUUGGUUACAUUUACCUUUGCAAACUGCACCGAAAGGUAGCGAUUCCACAGCCACUGUUGAUGUGGACACAGCUGAGCCCAGGUUUUAACCAUCUAGCACUUGGCUUGAAGUUAUGUUAAAGAAUUCUGUGCAAGCCUCAUUAUUCUACUACCUCAUUAUUCUAUCCAUUAUGAGUAGUGUUCCAUUUUUAAAACAGCAGCAGAGCAUGGAUACUACCACCACCAUGCUUAAGAGUUGGUAAAGUGUUCUUGUUUUUAUUUUUCCACGUAUCUGUUGUACCUAGUACAACAUAGAUGGGGGGGCCUUCCCGAAGGAGUUCACUAAGCAUACAACUGUCAAAGUAAAAGUAGAAAAUAAAAGACAGAUGAGAAUCAAACUGUUUAAAGAAAGGAGAAGACAGAUUUAUUUAGCAGAUAGUUUCAAUCUUACAAAUUGGUUUGAAACCCCCAAGUCUUCUAGGAUACAGAGUUAAAAGCACAAGGUUUUAUACAGGUAAAAUGGGUUGAACACUCGGUGGGCUGAAAUACAGAUGGGGCAUCAAGCUCCACCUUUCUUUUGUCACAUAACCCUCUUCAGCUUUGUACAUAAUCGUAUCCAAUUGAUCAGAGAAAAAAAAAAACUCAAACAGCCAGGACGAGCUGACCUGUGUUUGCUCUUAUCUUAUAGAAGGCUUUCACAUUCCGCUCUGCUAACGAGUUGUUGGCUUCCUCAUCCGGGAAAGUUGUCAGUUCCCACUCAUAGAUCUUAGUGAGUUGGGUGCUUUUUUUUACCGUUAGUGUAUGUUGGCCUACUGCCACUGUCCAAACUAUCAUCUUUGUUGCCAAUUAGUCCACACCUGUCCUUUGCUCUCACUCCUUUCCGAGCUCAGAGUCUUCUCACUCACACACACACACAUAUACUAGCAGGAGUUCACUCAAAGGACAAACGCAGAUCCUUCUUAUGCUGUUUCACAGUAAUACUGUGUUAACAUACACUUGUAUAUGUCUAUAGGCUAACAAUUGGGUCCCCACGUAUCUUUAUCUAAUCUUACUAUAAAAAGCCUCUCAGUCCAUGGCGAUUGUAAAAUUGUCUUGACUGUAGACGGUGUCACCAAUGUUGCAGCAGCUACCAUUUUUUUCAGGCCUGUAAUUUAGUUGUUCUUUGAUUCAUCCUGACCAUCUGAACCUAUUUCCUGUCUGCUGAGAGUAGCAGUUAAGGAGUGUACUGAACUGACAUUUGCAAGAACUGAGAACAUUUUCAAGAACAGAGACUUUGUUUGAACUGAUGACCUUGGAAUCUGCAGUUGUUUAGAAAUGGCUCCAAGACAUUCCUGACUGCAAAUCGUGUCUUUUGUCAAUGUGCUGUGAGUUAGUCGGUCCAACUGGUCCUGUCAGAGAAAACCAUUUUUAAUGCGAGCACAGAUAUAAAGCUACCAACAUAUAUGCAUCACUUUGACCCUAUUCCAAAGGAAAUGUGACACUGCAAGUGCUGCUGAUAUAAGAAUAAAAGAAAAAAUUGUGAGCACAUUGUCUGAACUGUCUGAUGAGUGAGCAAAAAAAGUACAUAUAGUGUGAAGAUUCUGUGUUACAGGAUAUCUGUGCAGUGUGAGGCUGUUUUAACACUGAAUGUUGUAAGUAGUGUUGUAGAAAAGAAAAUGAAAAGUGGGCUACCCCCACCUCUCGUCCGGGGUACAACUCCCCUGCGUGUUCGUUUGAUAGAGAGAGUCAGACAGGUGGAGUGAAGUUGAAAGCAAACCAAGUAUUUAUUACAAAGUACUGAAUAUUCAGGAGAACCAACACAUGAAAGACCGUCUAACAGCCGUCCCAGCAUAAGUUCUGACCCCCCUCUGAUCUGACUCCAUGUUUUAUACCCCAAAUGACGUGAAACCUGCUGAUGAGGCGUUGCUAAAAUCAUCUCAUGUUAGUGUGCAUAAUUUCACGUGUUAGUAAUCCAUUUCACGUGUCUGACCGGACCAUCAGUGUUUGGCCUUGACUGUGUUCUUCCAGACAGUGUGGUAUUGUUUUAAGAAUUGACUGGGUCCAGUCACAGUGUGAUAUUGUUUCAGUAAUUAGACAGUGCCACCCUCCCUAUGUGCGCGCAUCCUCCCGCUUUGGUAGGUGAAGGACUUUGCACGCACAGAGAGAAAGGCCACACUGUUUGUCCUGAAGCCUCCUUUGUAUCAAUUUAGUUCAUACAGAGUGCACCAGCUGAUGAUUGAUGGCCGUUAGUCAGAGACAUGCAGAUAAACAAAAUGCUUCAAACAUGAGCUAUAUAAGUUUCACAAUAGUUCUCAUAUGUUAUAUGUUAAUGUGUUAGUGGCGCGUGGUUAGUCCGCCAUAUAAUAGAUCCUAUGUGUUAAUAUACGCCUUAUGUAUCAUGUGGGUUAAUUUGUCAUAAUAAGGAUGAUGUUAGACACAUGCUCGAUCAAACAGUGUUUUAAAGAAUAUACUGUGAUUAUUGGUUAAUCUUUUAUAUAAAUGCGUGUAAAAUACACUGUGAGUAAUAAAGAUGAUCAAAUACAA